rnacentral:lncRNA from 1 species
UGAAACACUAUUCUAGUUAUUGUUUGUAUCCUAAUGAAAAUGUUCCUCUAUUUCUUUGUUUCCAAAGGAAGUCGCCUGCCUCACUGGUAUUCUCAGCCAUAUAAUAGAGAGUUUUGGUAGAGCUAUUUAAGGUGCUCCAGCUACAAAUGCAUUUUUUCAUCAUUUGUCAUCCACAAAACAGUGACCAGACAGAACACAUCCAGAAGAUAUUUGAAAGACACCUUCAGUUUUGAGCACUGAUCUCAAAAUCAAGCAUUAAAUAAUUGGUAUGAUACUAAAAAUAGAAUAUAUUUUUUCUAUUCCUUUUAAAGGUUAUAAAAUCACAUUACCUGAUUAGACUGUGAUAAUCUUAGGAUGGUGGGAAAUUCGUCUUUAAACUCAUCUACAAGGUCCAUGAUUGCUUUCUGGAUCCCCUCGACUAAGACAAAAAGAGGCCCUCUCCCCAGAAGUAGAGUGGUGAAAAAUGACAGACGGUGAUGGAGUAAGAGAAUCUCACCCUGCAGCACUUACAUUAUGAUCUUAUAAUAUUUAGGUUUGUGUUUAAUUAUCUUCUUAUGCCAA